UCCCUGGUAGUUCAGAGGUUAGGACUCGGCACUUUAACAGCAAUGGCCUGGGUUCCACCCCUGGUCGGGGAA
rnacentral:tRNA from 1 species